UGGAUGAAUGAUCUAUUAUGACACAUUUUGUAUUUGAUUUUUGUGUUCAUGUGUAAAAAAAGUACUUGCUAUAAUAAGCAUUAGGGAUAGUGUUCUGGUGGGAUGGGGUAGGUGAAUGAGUGAGUGUAUGUGUGAUUCAAAUAGGCUGGAAAAAGGGGGCACUGAAGAUUGAGUAUCUCUGCUGAUCUUGGAGUGCAUCUGAGGCCAAUCCUGUGUAAUCUAGAGGCUUUCAUUGUGAAUUGGCUGAUGAUUAGAGCCUCAUAGCAGCUCACCUUGUCAGCCUUGGCAUUCUGCAAUCUCUAACACCUGCAUUUUUGCAGUGUUCCUGUAGUCUGAUCCAA